AUCCAGACUCCUACGGGAGGCAGCAGUGGGAAAUAUUGCACAAUGGGGGAAACCCUGAUGCAGCGACGCCGCGUGAGCGAUGAAGUAUUUCGGUAUGUAAAGCUCUAUCAGCAGGGAAGAAGAUGACGGUACCUGACUAAGAAGCCCCGGCUAACUACGUGCCAGCAGCCGCGGUAAUACGUAGGGGGCAAGCGUUAUCCGGAUUUACUGGGUGUAAAGGGAGCGUAGACGGCGAUGCAAGCCAGAUGUGAAAGCCCGGGGCCCAACCCCGGGACUGCAUUUGGAACUGUGUGGCUGGAGUGUCGGAGAGGCAGGCGGAAUUCCUAGUGUAGCGGUGAAACGCGUAGAUAUUAGGAGGAACACCAGUGGCGAAGGCGGCCUGCUGGACGAUGACUGACGUUGAGGCUCGAAAGCGUGGGGAGCAAACAGGAUUAGAUACCCUUGUA
rnacentral:rRNA from 1 species